UAUCUCUUCGAUACGGUGUAAGAACAGUGUGUCACAAAAACAACAUUGGAAUAAUUGUAUGGAUAAAUUUAACGAGAAGAAAUAAAUUAGAAAAAUAUAUCUCUUCGAUACGGUGUAAGAACGGUGUGUCACGAAAACAACAUUGGAAUAAUUGUAUGGAUAAAUUUAACGAGAAGAAAUAAAUUAGAAAAAUAUAUCUCUUCGAUACGGCGUAAGAACGGUGUGUCACGAAAACAACAUUGGAAUAAUU